AUGCUUGUCCCUUGGGGUCUAGGGGGGAUGCUUGUCCCUUGGGGUCAGGGAGUCGGGUGGGUGCCAAGGCUUGAAUUCCCUCGGGUGCCCUCAAUCCCACAGCCACAGGGGUGUGAUGGGGUGGAGGUGCUUCUCCCCAAUCUCCAGCCCUGUUUCAUGAGUUCUUCAGGGCAGAUUGCUGGUGGGGCGAGAGGUUUGCUCUCUGCCACCCCCUCCAAGCGAUGCUGCAGCUCGGGGCAAUGGCAGCUUUGUGCUGAGCGUGGCAGGAUUGGGCCCCCCCACCCAUUCUCCCCGUUGCUCCGGGAGCCCCCUGGUGCUGGUUCCGGCUCUGACCCAACAAUCCGGGGGUGCCGGCGGUGCCAGGGGCUGCCCCGGGGCAGGGUGCCCAGGAUGAUCGUGUCCCUGUGGCUGGCGUACAUCGCGGCACGGAAAGGCACCGGCGUGCACAUCCCCACCGACAGCGCACCGGAUGGCCCCGUGGUGGAGGUGGACGCGUUGGCCACGGGUGAAGAGCUGCUCUCCAGGCUGUUCCAGAGGGUGCUGGAAAUCUGGGCAGAGCCCCGGGCAGAGCCCCAAGGAGAGCCACGGGCAGAGCCCCAGGCAGAGCCCCAGGCAGAGCCUGCAGCGGCUCCCCCAGCCUCCCAGCAAGCCGAUGGUCCAAGCCCCCAGGGUGAUGCUGACCGUGGGGUGCAGGCACCCGGGCAGGUCCUUGUGGAGGACAGGAUGAAGGUCCAGUACUUGAGGUGGAGCCAGACCCGUGUCCAUCGCGUCUCGAGCCUGCUGGAGGGUGAUCUGGUGGAGGACAGGAAGGAGCAAACUGAAAACGGCGUGUCCCAGGUGCUGCUCCAAGGCAUGCCGGACACCGUGAUGGAGGCCGUGAUGGAGGCUGUGAAGGACACCGUGAUGGAGGCCGUGACAGAGGCUGUGACAGAAGCUGUGAAGGGCACCGGGAUGGAGGCCAUGACAGACACUGUGAUGGACACCGGGACGGACACUGGGCUGGACACCGAGACGGACACGGGGACAGACACCGGGAUGGACUCCGUGAUGGACCCCAUGAUGGACCCCGUGAUGGACUCCACGCUGGACACCAAGAGCCAGGUCCAGCUUCCCAGCGAGGACUAGGAGGUCGCCGCUCUCCCCGCUCCCCUUCCCUGGCUGCAUUUGGACCUUUUUGUCACCUCCGCGGUGCUGGCUUGCCCAGAUGUGGCUCCCCCCCCAAAAAAAAUAAAAGGCUGCGUGCACCGGCUGGGCUGCGCCUG
rnacentral:lncRNA from 1 species